UUAGUACUCCCUCCGUCACAUAAUUCUUGUCGAAAUAUUACAUGUAUCUAGACGCUUUUUAGGAAUAGAUACAUCCAUAUUUGGGCAAAUUUGAGACAAGAAUUAUGGCACGGAGGGAGUACCAU
rfam:Brachypodium distachyon strain Bd21 chromosome 5, whole genome shotgun sequence.